GAUUAACGCUAGCGGCAGGCCUAAUACAUGCAAGUCGAACGGGAUUCAAAGUAGCAAUAUUUUGAUGAGAGUGGCGCACGGGUGAGUAACACGUAUGCAAUUUACCUUUAACUGGGGGAUAGCCCUCCGAAAGGAGGAUUAAUACCGCAUAAUAUAUUGAAAUGGCAUCAUUUUAAUAUUAAACCUACGGGGGUUAAAGAUGAGCAUGCAUCCGAUUAGCUAGUUGGUGUGGUAACGGCUCACCAAGGCAACGAUCGGUAGGGGGUCUGAGAGGAUGAUCCCCCACACUGGUACUGAGACACGGACCAGACUCCUACGGGAGGCAGCAGUAAGGAAUAUUGGACAAUGGAGGCAACUCUGAUCCAGCCAUGCCGCGUGAAGGAUUAAGGCCCUAUGGGUUGUAAACUUCUUUUAGACGGGACAAAACCCCUUUACGUGUAAAGGGUUGAUGGUACUGUCAGAAUAAGCAUCGGCUAACUUCGUGCCAGCAGCCGCGGUAAUACGUAGCGU
rnacentral:rRNA from 1 species